GAUGAACGCUGGCGGCGUGCCUAAUACAUGCAAGUCGAACGCUGAAGGAGGAGCUUGCUCUUCUGGAUGAGUUGCGAACGGGUGAGUAACGCGUAGGUAACCUGCCUGGUAGCGGGGGAUAACUAUUGGAAACGAUAGCUAAUACCGCAUGACAACAGUUAUUGCAUGAUAACUGUUUAAAAGGGGCAACUGCUCCACUACCAGAUGGACCUGCGUUGUAUUAGCUAGUUGGUGAGGUAACGGCUCACCAAGGCGACGAUACAUAGCCGACCUGAGAGGGUGAUCGGCCACACUGGGACUGAGACACGGCCCAGACUCCUACGGGAGGCAGCAGUAGGGAAUCUUCGGCAAUGGACGGAAGACUGACCGAGCAACGCCGCGGGAGUGAAGAAGGGUUUCGGAUCGUAAAGCUCUGUUGUAAGAGAAGAACGAGUGUGAGAGUGGAAAGUUCACACUGUGACGGUAUCUUACCAGAAAGGGACGGCUAACUACGUG
rnacentral:rRNA from 1 species